rnacentral:rRNA from 1 species
UACGGAGGGGGCGAGCGUUGCUCGGAAUUACUGGGCGUAAAGGGUCCGCAGGUGGCCUCGUAAGUUAGAUGUGAAAUCUUAGGGCUUAACCCUGAAACUGCAUCUAAUACUGCAAGGCUUGAGUCCAGGAGAGGUUGGCGGAAUUCCAGGUGUAGCGGUGAAAUGCGUAGAUAUCUGGAGGAACGCCAGUGGCGAAGGCGGCCAACUGGCCUGGUACUGACACUCAGGGACGAAAGCGUGGGUAGCGAUCCGG